AUUUUUAAUUUCCUGAAUUUCACAUCAAUUUUAUACGCAUGAACACUACACGAAUAUAUACACGAAUGAGAUAAAUUUUAAAACAUUUUCCGAUUUAUGUAUGCUAUAUAAACGCAUUAGCUUGGGGUGAGUUUUCGCUUGCAGCAACCAUACAAAAAUCGUGUAAAAUAUGCUUAAUCGUAAGCAUAUCAGAUAAUACGCGAUAGACAGAAGGUCACUGAAUAGGCGGGCAGAUGUGUACGUAUGGAAUAAGAUCCAUACUGACGUAGAGAGGACGUGAGCGAAAGAUAAACAGCUUGAUGGAUGGAUAAAGAGAUCGCCAUUGAACUGAUGUCUGUCUACGCACUGAAGCGAGGCUGCAUAAUACGAUAUUCAUAGGCUUAUUGGAUAAUUAACGUGCAGUUACCAGUGCUUCCUAGUUUGUAAGGUAACCCUAUACCAAAGCUGGAGCACCAGAUAUGAAGCUAUGACUAGGGUGCAAACUCUCCCUUCUACCUGCAUCUCCAGUUAUAUAAUACCCUCGCACUUGAGGUAACCACAGCCGCUGCGAAUGCUCGCUAAACAUCUGCGUCCCGUGAUUUGUCGUGUAUACAGCGGAAGGUGUACGCUAAACAUUUAAGUCAGAAACUUAUCUUCUCUCGCGUUUCCAUUUUUAUUGCGGCAAAGAUAAGUGUCUUCUUUCUUCUGUCCGGCUGUACGAGUAUCUGGUUUUUGCUGGUCUACCUCUCCGUAAGACCGUCUUAUCAGCGAUGUGAAUCCUGGCAUGAAGAAGUCAUCAAGAGUGUCAGGAGUCAUCUGCUUGCAAACUUCUCUUCGAAGUUCAGUUACUACGGAGACACAAGUUUUACUACACAGGCCUGCGAGUCACUAAAGAGGACAGAGAAGUCAUAGUCUGAUUUGGUGUCUAGCUAUGUUCGGUUGAUUUAUGCUCUUUGUCCAUCAAAAUCCAUAGGGAAUUCAUUGGAUGGGUAACCAGAAUGCAAAAGUAUGCAAAAAAUUGAACCUAAUGCCUUACAGACAAAAGCUGUAGAAUCCAUAAAAGUCAGGAUGUCCAUUUCAAGACUACCUCGUUUACGCGAUGAACUGUCGUUGGUCUUUGAAUGCGUAACGAAUGCCGAGUGUACGAGUGAUGCCUGUCUCAAGCACGACGAACUGAACAAUUUGACCUGAUAGAAGAUAGAGGAACCGCAAUCGGCUUUUUUCGCAUAAUAAUGGUUUUCAUGACGUCCCGUUAUUUAUUUUUAGCAAUCUCCUACCGUUAGUAUUGAUUUUAUGCAACGUCCUAUUUUUUCUUGAUCCAACUAUGAUGAUGUUUUUUCAUCGCCGUCCAUACGCACCAAUCAUAUUAUCGAAAUUGGAACGUGAACUUGAAAUAAAUUAAAAAGAGCCGCAAUGGAAAGUCAAUGGAAAUGGAAAUUAUUUGAUCUGCGUACUGUCAGUACUGCUUUCGCUUUAUGAAGAAAAUGUGCAGAAUUUCAAUCAAAGACCUUCCGGCC